rnacentral:tRNA from 2 species
GCUCUCGUCGUUCAACGGAUAGGACAGCUCCCUCCGAAGGAGCAGAUGACGGUUCGAUUCCGUCCGAGAGCACAA